CAUUCCCUUAUGGCCCCAGCAGUUGGUGCCUCCUAUUGGUGGCAGUUCCUUCUCCAGGAUCCUGUAAACCAGAGGCUAUGUCAGGAGCUAAGGACAUGAUGGCCAAGAAGAACUAUGCACAGGACAAACAAGCAGGAGACAGGGUUCUGGGAGAGAAGGUGAGCUCACUUCUGCAGAUGACUCUACUCACUGGCCACACCAUGCU
rnacentral:lncRNA from 1 species